CGGAAGUAAAAAAGUAAAAGUUGCUUAGCUUGUGCCCAGGAGAGGCACAAGCGAGCUGGUGCAGAGAGGAAAGGGGCAGAAGCUAGGAUGGUGAUUACCUCGGAGAGGCAGUGACUGGAACUCAGCCGGCCUGCUGGGGACCUGGACAGAUUCUGUUUCUUGAUCUGGUGCUGGUUACGUGGAUGUGUUCGCCCGCAGACUGUGUAUCUAACUUCAAAACUGAGGAUUAUCUCUAGGUGUUAUCCGAGAUGCCCAAUGACUGGUUUCUGCUUUGUCAAUGGAGCAAGCACACUUCUUCAUCAGUCGGCCCAUGACUUUGUUGGCUAUCCCUAGUCAUCAGGAAAUUCUUCCUUGUAGUUAUAUGAUGUUGCUCUCCCUAUAACUUCCAGCCUUUUGUUCCAGUCCUGGCCUUAGACAAGUC
rnacentral:lncRNA from 1 species